AGGAGCAACAGAGAACCAUGAUUUUCCUUUUUUUUUUAAAGGAAGCAUCUAUCAAAUACCCACAAUGAGACACCAUAUUUUGGGAGAACUUUAAGAAGCUGAUAUACAUUCUAAAGAAGACAUCCAGAACAGUAAACUAGGGAUAUUUACUUAGUAGGAGAGAAGGCUAAGGGCAACAAGCUUUCUUCAAGUGCCAAAAAAACUGAAUGGAAACUUCUAGAGACAAGUCAAGAGGGAAGAACAGCAGGAAGAAGUACAACUAAGCUCUACCUGGCAACUACUCUACAAAGAUUUAGAAAACAACCCAGUCUGGAUCCCAAUUGGGAAAUCUUCAACAACAACAAAAACCACACACAUAGCAAGUAAUUUUUUCUAGCCCAAAUCUAGCAAUUUUUCAAACAAAGGAAGAGAGAUAUAGAGAUAUGUAGCUACUGUCAACAGGAUCUAGAAAAAAAUGGUUGUGUGGAAUAGUUCAGCACACAGAGUGAAUAGGGUCUGACUAAGGCAGUGUGCCAGGGCAAGAAGAUGUCUCAGAUCUGGCACAGAGUGUUUGAUUUUUGAGCAAGAAGUCAGAAUAAAUUCCAACUAGUAGCUCUGUUACUCAUUACUCAGUGCUGGGUCAUAGUUCCAGUGUGGAAUGAGGAAGGGAACUACUUUUAGAAAUCUUCCCCAGGUCAAUUGUAUGCCUUUGCUGUAUGUCGAGUGAGAAACUAGUACAGAAAAGCAACAACUGCAUGGCUGUGACUAAUCCUGGCUUUCAAAGUCAUGAAGUAAAACUUAAAGAUUGAGCAAAAAAAGAAAUCCCACCCCAAAGAGAUAUUGUGGUGAUAGGCUUAAGACACAAACCUAGGAGACUAGAAAGACUAAAACAUCUAUAAGCAAAACCUCAAAGAAAAAUGCAUACUGAGUACUAAUUCAAAUAGACUUCCUAGAAAGCAUAAAGCAAGUGUUGAAAAAAGAAUGAUAAAAUGACUUUAUAAAUGAAAAGGGAAUACUGUAGGGGAAAAAUGAUUAGCCCAAACAGAAGAAAGAAUUUUGAAGGAAUUUUGCAUAAGAUGCAUAAAGCUUUACCUAAUUUUAGACUCCUUGAAAAUGAGAAUGAACAACAUAGAAGUUGUUGACUCACUGAGACAAAAAGAUCUAUUAAAAUGAAAACAAAAGACAAAAAUAGAAGAAUAUGUUAGCUAUUUCAUAUGGAAAAACAAUUGACCUGGAAACAGAUCAAAGAUCAUUUAAAAUUCACUGAACUACCUGAAAUACAUGAUAAAAAAAGCCUAGAUAUAUUUCAAGAAACUUAAAGAAAACUGCAAAGGUAUCAUAACCAGGAGGCAAAUGAAAAAAGUAGAAAGAAAAACAAGUCACUUCAUGAAAGAAACUCCAAAAUAAACAAUAAGGAUUAUUAAAGACAAAACACAGAAUACCCAGGUCAAAGAAAAAAUACUGUGAUUAGGAUGAAAAAAGAAAAAUAUUGAGGAGCCAGUCAGGAUCACUCAAUAUUAGCAGCUACCACUUUAAAGGAAUGAAAAGCUUGGAAUUCAAAAUUCUAAAAUUUAAAAGACAGGCUUAAAAUCAAGAAUAAUGAACUCAACCAAGCUGGGUAUGAAGCUAUAGGAGAAAAAUGACUUUUAAUGAAGUAAAAGACUCUUAAAUAUCCCUGAUGAAAAGAUCAGAGGUGUGAUCAGAUUUCUGAGAUCAGAAUUUUGAAAUAUAAACAAUAAGUCUAAAGAAACAUACAAACAGCAAUCAUAAAGAGGUAAACAAGUAUGAACUAUUUACAUUCUAAUAUGGGGAGAUGAGGCAUCUGUACUCUCUGUAUUCUAUCAUCUCCAGGGGUAACAGAGGAAAUCUAAUAUGACAUCCUCUGGUAGGUUUUUUUUUUUUUUAAUUUUCUUAAUUUUAUUUAUUUUUUUAACAUUGUUUAAUUUGGUCAUUUCCAAACAUUAUUCAUUGGAAACAAAGAUCAUUUUCUUUUCUUCCGUCCCUCCUCCCCCACCUCUCCCAUAGCUGAUGUGUGAUUUCACUGGGUAUCACACGUGUUUUUGAUUCAAACCCAUUUCCAUAUUGUUGUUAUCUGCAUUACAGUGUUCAUUUAGAGUCUCUCCUCAGUUAUAUCCCCUCCACCCCUGCAGUCAAGCAGUUGCUUUUCAUUGGUGUUUUUACUCCCACAGUUUAUCCUCUUCUUGUGGAUAGUGUUUUUUAGAUCCCUGCAGAUUGUUCAGGGACACUGCAUUGACACCAAUGGAGAAGUCCAUU